UACGUAGGGUGCAAGCGUUGUCCGGAAUCAUUGGGCGUAAAGCGCGCGUAGGUGGCCCCGUAAGUCCGCUGUGAAAGUCAAAGGCUCAACCUUUGAAAGCCGGUGGAUACUGUGGGACUAGAGUACGGAAGAGGCGAGUGGAAUUCCUGGUGUAGCGGUGGAAUGCGCAGAUAUCAGGAGGAACACCAAUAGCGAAGGCAGCUCGCUGGGACGUACUGACACUGAGGCGCGAAAGCGUGGGGAGCGAACAGG
rnacentral:rRNA from 1 species